rnacentral:rRNA from 1 species
UGCCACAGCCAUAUCACCCUGCAGCCCAAGACUGGUUACUCACUGAAGCUACGCAGGGCUGAGCCUGGUCAGUACUUGGAUGGGAGACCACAUGGGAAAACUAGACUGCUGUUAGAA